CUCUGAUGACUUCACACCCUAUCCAGCAUUUCAUGAGGGUUCUGAAGGCUAAUCCUGCAAUCAAAGUCACCUUAAAGAGUGAGAAUCAGUGAGAGAGCAAGAGAGGAUUACAGCAAGCCUCGCCUGCAGAACCCAGGAAAAGACCUGACACUUCAUUCACAAUAACUCGUCACCCAAAGGAACAUAAACCCGAGAAAACAAGACACUG
rnacentral:lncRNA from 1 species